UUAACCCUCUGAAAGUUGUGGUUCCAGAGUCGGGGUUUUGGGGGCAAGAUGAGCUUAUGUUUUAUCCAACUGGCCCACAAAGUCCCGCUUUUGGUGGUCACUUUGUUCUGCAAAAGAAA
rnacentral:pre_miRNA from 14 species